CAGUCGCCGCGGGAAUACGAAGGGUGCAAGCGUUAAUCGGAAUUACUGGGCGUAAAGCGUGCGUGGGCGGCUUCUUAAGUCGGAUGUGAAAUCCCUGAGCUUAACUUAGGAAUUGCAUUCGAUACUGGGAAGCUAGAGUAUGGGAGAGGAUGGUAGAAUUCCAGGUGUAGCGGUGAAAUGCGUAGAGAUCUGGAGGAAUACCGAUGGCGAAGGCAGCCAUCUGGCCUAAUACUGACGCUGAGGUACGAAAGCAUGGGGAGCAAACAGGAUUAGAUACCCCUGUAGUCCCUGUCUCUUAUAC
rnacentral:rRNA from 1 species